rnacentral:rRNA from 1 species
GAUGAACGCUGGCGGCGUGCCUAAUACAUGCAAGUCGAGCGAAUGGAUUAAGAGCUUGCUCUUAUGAAGUUAGCGGCGGACGGGUGAGUAACACGUGGGUAACCUGCCCAUAAGACUGGGAUAACUCCGGGAAACCGGGGCUAAUACCGGAUAACAUUUUGAACCGCAUGGUUCGAAAUUGAAAGGCGGCUUCGGCUGUCACUUAUGGAUGGACCCGCGUCGCAUUAGCUAGUUGGUGAGGUAACGGCUCACCAAGGCAACGAUGCGUAGCCCACCUGAGACGGUGAUCGGCCCCACUGGGACUGAGAAACGGCCCAGACGCCUACAGGAGGCAGCAGUAGGGAAUCUUCCGCAAUGGACGAAAGUCUGACGGGGCAACGCCGCGUGAGUGGUGAAGGCUUUCGGGUCGUAAAACUCUGUUGUUAGGGAAGAACAAGUGCUAGUUGAAUAAGCUGGCACCUUGACGGUACCUAACCAGAAAGCCACGGCUAACUACGUGCCAGCCGCCGCGGUAA